AUAGAGACUCAGAGCUGCAUAUCAAUAAGCGGAGGAAAAGAAACUAACUAGGAUUCCCUCAGUAACGGCGAGUGAAGCGGGAAGAGCUCAAAUUUGAAAUCUUCAAGGUUUUACCUUGACGAAUUGUAGUUUAUAGAAGUGUUUUCUGUUGAAGUUUUGGUAAAAGUUCUUUGGAAAUAGGACAUCAUAGAGGGUGAGAAUCCCGUAUUUGACCAUUAUUUCCAGCUGUGUGAUACACUUUCAAAGAGUCGGAUUGUUUGGGAAUGCAGUCCAAAAUGGGUGGUAAAUUUCAUCUAAAGCUAAAUAUUGGCGAGAGACCGAUAGCGAACAAGUACCGUGAGGGAAAGAUGAAAAGAACUUUGAAAAGAGAGUUAAACAGUACGUGAAAUUGUCAAAAGGGAAGCGUUUGACACCAGUGUUGUUUUUCCGAAAAUCAAUUACGAAUGUUUUGUUUUUGAGGAGUUAUGACUUCAUCGGCUUGCUUCUCUCUUUACGAAACUUUCUUAAUGCACUUUUCGGUUAACAAGUCAACAUCAAUUUCUUUUGUUGUAAAAGAGUAUGAGGAAGGUGGCUUUCUUUUCGGAGAAAGUGUUUAUAGCCUUGUACUUCUGCAAUCGGAGAGAUUGAGGUCUGCAGCGUAGAUCCUUCGGGGUUAGAUACAUUUGUGCUAAGUUAUAGCUUUUUAUAGGACAACUUGUUGACUAUGAUUGAUCUUGUAGCUUACUCGCUUAUGCUAUUUUACCUACGCUUAGGAUGUUGAUAGUCACAGCGUGUAC
rnacentral:rRNA from 1 species